rnacentral:rRNA from 1 species
UACGUAGGGUGCAAGCGUUAAUCGGAAUUACUGGGCGUAAAGCGUGCGCAGGCGGUUUUGUAAGUCUGUCGUGAAAUCCCCGGGCUUAACCUGGGAAUGGCGAUGGAGACUGCAAGGCUAGAGUUUGGCAGAGGGGGGUAGAAUUCCACGUGUAGCAGUGAAAUGCGUAGAGAUGCGGCGGAACACCGAUGGCGAAGGCAGCCCCCUGGGCUGACACUGACGCUCAGGCACGAAAGCGUGGGGAGCAAACAGG